rnacentral:rRNA from 1 species
AAUUUUGGACAAUCGGCGAAAGCCUGAUCCAGCAAUGCCGCGUGCAGGAUGAAGGCCUUCGGGUUGUAAACUGCUUUUGUCCGGUACGACAAGCUUUGGGUUAAUACCCUGGAGUCAUGACGAUACCGUAAGAAUCAGCACACGUCAAGUAUGUUCAAGCAGCCGCGGUAAUACGUAGUGCCCAAGCGUUAAUGGGAAUUACUGGGCGUAAAGCGUGCGCAGGCGGUUUUGUAAGACAGAGGUGAAAUCCCCGGGCUCAACCUGGGAACUGCCUUUGUAACUGCAAGGCUAGAGUACGGCAGAGGGGGGUGGAAUUCCGCGUGUAGAAGUGAAAUGCGUAGAUAUGCGGAGGAACACCGAUGGCGAAGGCAACCCCCUGGGCCUGUACUGACGCUCAUGCACGAAAGCGUGGGGAGCAAACA